rnacentral:lncRNA from 1 species
GUAAAAUACAUGAUCAAUAUUGUCAAGGUAAAACAAGCUGUUGGGUUUGUUGAGGUACAAUCUUAUUUGAUGAUGUACAUUGCUAUAUCUGACUAGUUAGUUAUUUCCAACAGGAAGGAAAAAUUAAAUGUCAGUUGCUUCACAAUGUAACAUUGGGGAAGAAAGACAAAUGAAAGCUUAUAUUUGGUAUUUUUUGGCAUUUUAGUCUGUUUUGUCUUUUUUUUUUGUCUUUUUUUUUUUUUAAUGCGCACGUGUGUGAUGAAUAAAUUGAACAAAGAGCAAUCCGGAAAAUCAUUUAUAGUUAUGCUUUUUUUUGCAUGGUUUAGAACUUUGAAGCGAACUAGAAGUAAUUAGCCAAAUCUCCAAUUAGUUUUUUACUAGUUUCUUUUCUUCUUCCCUUAUGUAUUACAAGUUUUUUUUCUUUUUCCCUUAUGUUAUUAAAAGCACCAGAGGUUCACUCAUAGCAAUCAGUGGACCCUCAUGGUCUAUUAAUCCUUUAUCUGCUUCUUUGCACAUGUCAUUUACUAUUUUCCCCUGCUCAAAAAAACCCCUUGAAUGUCACAAAAGAUGUUUCUUAAGACUGAUAGGAAACGUCAAGAUCAGCAUGCCAAAAAUAUUAUAUCGUAUUAUAUUGUCGACAUGAACUAUAUUAGGGAUUUUGCUUUUCAGUGUAGCUGCCAUUUUCUAGGACAUUGCGACCCUCUUUGGAUAGUAAAUAAGCAUCUUCUUUUAGAAGCAUCAAUUUACAACUAAACUGAAGUGAUUGUUGCGGGUAUUCUUGGCCAGUUUGCAUCUUAUUUUAGCAGAAAGACUGGAUCCAAAAACUCUCAUUGGAGGACACUGUGAAUUAGUGUUGUUGAAUAAUAAGUAGUGAAGAAUUUUGUUGAAGUAUGUCAUGUAUUUUAUGCAAAAUGCAUGUUUGCUGAUUACAUGCAUCUACUCAAAACUCAGCUUGCAUUGAGGCUAUUCAUCACAUGUAUCAACCUAGCAAUCUGGGGCUCUGAACCAUUCUUGUAUGAACUGUUUUUGCUUCUUCACAUUUUUCUUGUAGCAAAUAAUUCUACUCAUAAUUUCAUAUGUCUGAACCUUGCACAUUUGCUAGCCUUGAGAUUGAAAAUUCAAUUUGUUCUGCAUGCUUCAACUCAUUGUAUUUAACACAUGACUGAUGAAGGAUUCAUACACCAAACAAAAAUGGUCAGGGCAAAGCUUGAUGAUUGCAUUAUAUGCUGAUACUAUCAGCUACUACUCCCACUACAUGAAUGCGGCUUCUAGCUUUGCAUGUUUCUUGAUUUCCCUUUUUUCCUUUUUUUUUCUUUGUAGUCAAGCCCAGACUGUACAGAUCCUGGUAAACACAAUCACCAAACUGACCGCCUUUUCAAGCUAUGCACAGUCUUUUCUUUUUCUGCUGUUUCUCUCAAUAUGCUUGUUUGCUUUUUUAUAUUCCUGCAAUUUCUACCCAACAGUCCCCAAGCCCUAUGACAUAGGAGACAAAUUCCUUCCCUAUGCACAGCCAGAGCAUUAUCAACUACUGCAAUCCUAAUAAGUUUCAUGAUAUGGAUUUUUGUGUGGUGGGGUGGACAGCCAGAACCAGGCAUGAUGGAAUUGGUUUAGGGCUUUUGUGAUGGAUUUGGUAUUAAUUUUCGAAUUUUGAGGAAGGUUCAGGAAGUUGACUAUAUGAUAGUGAAAAAAAAAAAAAGAAUUCUCCACGUCCUAGACAUUGUAAUUGAGCACGACCAUGACUGUUUUUAUCAAGAUGACACAACAGUAUAUUUAAUACAUUCUAGUUCGAUUUCUUUAUUAUUAUUUUUUUUUUGUUUCGAUAUUUUUCCACCAACUGCUAGCAUGUAUAUCAUUCAUUUGAUUUGUCAUGGAAACAAGAGUGGGCACUAUUGCUGAUAGAAUGAUCAGACAUCAAGCAUAUUUCAUGAUGACGCUACUAGUUUAUGUUUUGGUGAAUUAUUUAAAAAUCAAGAUAUUAAGGGUUUCUAAGCUAUACACAAUCAUGUAUAAUCUUUGAGGUCAAGCAUGUAAAGGAGCAUACUAGUUCCUGCACUCUUCGGGCCAUUUAAAACGACCCCAUAUGUUAUCAAAAAAAGCACUCGGAGUCAUGUUCCAUCUGUGGUGACCUACAACAAUUUGAAUUUUCCUCAAUGAUUGUACACAUACCUUAAGUUUUUUUUUUUACUACUUUAUCAGUGUUUACUUAUUUCGUUCGAAUGUCCUUGCAUGGUGCUGAUCUCCGCUUUGCGUUUUUGCAGUGCAACAGUUUAUCCAUCCAUAGGAGGGCAUCUUACUGAGGUAGCAGUAUGGAUCUGAUCUUUUAGGGAUGAGCAGCCCAACAAAAAUAAGAUUUGAUUAGAAGGACAAAGUAUUUCAAUUUCUUUAUUUGUGCAAGAAUAAAAUUUCUUGGUAAUUAAUUUUCUAAGGUUUCAGGUUGCAACAGUAUUGUACUUGUAAUGAUAAUAUACCUCAACUUUUAAUUUCUGAUGGAACUAGGCCUGCAAAUGGGUUGGGUUGGAUCGGAAUCACUCAAGAUCCGAUCCAAUCUGAUUUUUUGAUCGGAUCUUGAUAUUGGACCCAUACCCAUCUCAAUAAAAAAUCGGAUCGGGUCGGAUCCAUGGCCGAAUUUAUUGACUCAUUGGAUCAUUCGGGUCGGGUCGAAUCCAUAUAUAAUUCAGUUCUAAUCCAUGAAAUGCGGAUCCGGAUCGGAUCUAAUUCGGAUCGGAUCGGAUUCUGAGUUUAAAAUUCUACAUAAAGUAGAAUUAGAGAUCACAUCGACAGCCAUAUCUAUCUUUUCAUAUAGAUAUUCUCUCUUCUCUUCCCACGUCUUUUCACUUCACUAUUGAUAGUGAAUAUUGUAUAUCAUCCUUAAGGUAAUAGUAAUAUACAAAAGUAAAUAAAUAAUUGAAUAUUUUAAUUAUGAACAACUGUUGGUAUGUCUGUCUCCAGUUUACUUUGUAAUUGUGGAAGG